CAGCUGGCUAGUGAAUAGGCAGCAGGCUGACUGAAUCCAGUAACAUUUACAUAUUAAAGAAUAAUGGGAGUUGCUUUAUUGCGCCGCUGACCGUAAUGCUGCUUCUCUGCUUAUUUUGUUUCCAGUGCUCUUGCUGGUGCAGAGGUGUGACACCGUGUUUGUUGGGGAAUGGCUCCUAAAAGAGAACCCUCCAUCAAGAAGUCUCCUCCACCAGAGACCGAGCCCAGACUGGGUCCCCCUUACCCUGCCUACCUGUGACUCCUGCUGCUCCAAAAUCAGUUCCAGAGCAGAAGCCUCGGAUGCUGCGUCCCUCAGAUUCUCCAUUUGACCCAGCUACUUUAGAGGUGAGUGAGGUGGUAUUAUUUGGGUUACAAACCUAAUGUGGGGCAGUCCUAAAAUAGACUGCCAAACAUUGUACAUACAGUGAAUGUGAGUAGAAACACAGAUUAGGGAUUUGCUAUUAAGCAAAUAUUAGUAUUCUGAGUCCAAACAGACUUUGGAAGAAUUUGGGUAGAGAUAACAACAAGCGCUCCUCCGUUGUAAAUGUCAGAAACUAUCUAGUGAAUCGCUUUGAUAUCAUGACCACUGUAAAAAAAAGAUACAUUUUUACAUUGAAUAAUGCCAUCAAAGUAUAUUGUAAGGCAAAAACAUGUCAAGCAUGGAACAAAUUGUAAAUGACACUAUUUUAUUUACAUCUAAAUCUGUCCCACAUUAGAGUUUGCAGCACUCAGUUGCUUUAGGUUUGCCAAAGGCUUUAGCUAUGCUUCCAUCUUCAAGCGCCUCUUUAACUGUGUGUGCUGCAUGACAUAAUGCUGUGUCCCAUUUAGCCUGUGAGGAUAUGUGGGUCAUGUUAGACACCCACUUCCACUUACUGUGGAAUCACACGUGUGACAAGAGACAAGAAUCUCCGAGGGGAAGGACACUGUGCUAAGCUGUUGAAAUAUGUGCAGUCAAUUUACGAUCUCACCAGCAUAAUGUUAUCCAUUACUCCUGUAUUCAAGAGAUAUCGUGGAUCAAUUUCAAAACACAAAAUGACAGAUAGCAUGACACGAUAACACUUUAACAAUAAUCAAUAAAACCUGAAUUGCAGAUAGGUCA
rnacentral:lncRNA from 1 species